UUUUGGUCUAAGGAUAUUUUAUUAAUGUGAGACUCUUUAAUGGGGUCAUUCUGAAACUGAUCAAAGAACUUCCCUUUAAGAAUGGUUGUCUUAACUUCUCAUUCUCUAUUUCACCAUCAAGAUGAAUGGAUUCAGGCUCAAUGAGCACAUCACAAUCUUCUAUGAGCCAAUCUCUAUGUGAGGCAGAUACCUGGUUUGUUAGCUAACAUUUCACGUUGUGGAAUUGGCAUCAUUUACCUCAUCACUACUACUAACUACUAACUAACUGCCACUAACUACUAACACUGAAUGUUCUGGACUUGGAGGCACUGGCUGGUCUCUGAGCUAAAACUUCAGAGCCCUCAUCAACUGACAGCACCUAGAGAAGGGGACCACAGCUUCUCUCUUUGAGCACACAGUGCUCUCUCCAUUUGAAUGUCUAGUUGUCAUCAGAGAGGAGACUCAAAGGCUUUCUCUUUUGGAAGGGUAGAUCUUUUGGCUUCAGAAGAUCAUGGAUCUUCAGAUUGCUCUGGAUUUAAAUCUUCACAUUGCUAUAUGAGAGAUGAUACAUACCUUCAUGUCUUUUGGGGUUUUUUGUUUUGUUUUGUUUUGUUUUGUUUUGUUUUUUGUUUUUCUGAAACACACCGAGCCCCCAUGAUGGGGCUUCUUAUUUCCUUCUGCUUGUAGGCAUGAGCUGAAGAAGCUGCAUGUGGCCAAGCAGUUGUUCCUCGUCAUAUUUCAUUAUCAGAACAAAUGUCAAAGCAAUCAAGCCACAUGCAUGCGGGAGGAACUAAAAAUUUAUUUUUUUAAAAGUAAUCACUUGUACACCACUGAGGGUGGGACUCUUUUCCCUGAAGAGAGAGAGUAGAAAAUUUCCCCCAGAUGAAAAGCAUUCAAAAGAUAGAAAGGAUUUCAACUCAAUGACCUUGUUAAGGCCACAACUAUUCUUCUUCCAAGGAUGACCUUUCAAAUUCACUUUUGUUUUCUCAUUUCUUAAGCUUACCAUCAGAUAGGAGAAAGAGAUUGUCAGUACUGUUUUCUACUCAACUAUAUGAAAUAUAAACAAGCUAUACAGUGGCCAGCCCCUCCCCACACCCAGUUUAUUUAAAGUUACAGGUAUUGUAAAGGAGAACGGAAGCAGGAAGCCAAUUGCUACAGACUCAAUUGUCUUUUAAAGAGCCUCCUUGUUAUAGAGAAAUGACUAUCCCAAAAGAUGUCACAAAAAUACUUCUUAAAUCGUACCUGGAGCAAAUACCAGAAUGGCCUUGGCCAAAAUGCUUCAUUACUGAUCUGAAAUUGCACAUAAAACACAGAACAGACACACUUUUUCACAAGGAAAGGAAGAUAAAAACCAGAC
rnacentral:lncRNA from 1 species